rnacentral:rRNA from 1 species
AACGAACGCUGGCGGCAGGCCUAACACAUGCAAGUCGAGCGGACCUUUCGGGGUCAGCGGCGGACGGGUGAGUAACGCGUGGGAAUAUGCCCUUCUCUACGGAAUAGUCCUGGGAAACUGGGGGUAAUACCGUAUACGCCCUUUGGGGGAAAGAUUUAUCGGGGAAGGAUUAGCCCGCGUUGGAUUAGGUAGUUGGUGGGGUAAUGGCCUACCAAGCCGACGAUCCAUAGCUGGUUUGAGAGGAUGAUCAGCCACACUGGGACUGAGACACGGCCCAGACUCCUACGGGAGGCAGCAGUGGGGAAUCUUAGACAAUGGGGGCAACCCUGAUCGAGCCAUGCCGGGUGAGUGAUGAAGGCCUUAGGGUUGUAAAGCUCUUUCAGCUGGGAAGAUAAUGACGGUACCAGCAGAAGAAGCCCCGGCUAACUCCGUG